rnacentral:lncRNA from 1 species
ACCAUUUCAACCUCUCUCUGUCCAAGUCUGUAAUACCAACAUGUUUUAAGCAGACCACCAUAGUGCCUGUGCCCAAGAACACUAAGAUUCUUGGUUCGACACAACCCAAGAUGAUGAACCAUGAAGAUGGGAUAAAGUGCAUGACAAAGUGGCCCAGAGGAAGCCAGCUGUUCUCAACCCUUACUGUACAUUUCCCCGCUCUUCCAAGAGCUCACUGAGCUCUCUUGAAUUAAAACCUCUAGUGAGGGGUGAGAAGAGCUGACAAAUCAGAACUGAGGAGGAUUGUUACAGAGCCCCAUGAGGAACACAUGAUGCUACGCUGACUUCUCUCUCCUGGAUGCACUCCUGCCCAAACUGUCCCAUUGUGUGUUUCACCACCUCGGAACCCCCUUCUCCAGAAUAGAUUUGCCCCUGAUGAAAGAGCUAGGAUUGUACCCAAUCCCAAUUUUAACUCCAUCUCCUCUCUCUUUGUCUCUCGCUCCCCCACACCCACCACACACAGGCACACAAUAUAAUUAGUGUUGUAAUGAUGC